rnacentral:rRNA from 1 species
GACAGAGGUCCCGAGCGUUAGGCGGAAUCACUGGGCUUAAAGCGUGUGUAGGCGGAUGCCUAAGUACCUUGUGAAAUCCCACGGCUCACCCGUGGAACUGCUUGGUAUACUGGGUGUCUUGAGCCACUUAGGGGCUACCGGAACAAAUGGUGGAGCGGUGAAAUGCGUAGAUAUCAUUUGGAACGCCAAUGGUGAAAACAGGUAGCUGGGAGUGUGCUGACGCUGAGGCACGAAAGCUAGGGUAGCGAACGGG